GGGACCCGAGAAGGGCACACUAGCCCGGGGCGCGGAGGCCAACGCCGAGCCUGCGCGGUGGGAGGCGCUGAGAGCUCACUGCGCACGCGCCGGUCGGCCGGCCGCACCCACGCGGCUCAGCUCGCAAAGUUGCAGACAGCCCGGCGAACUGCUCAAUGCGCUGCUUCUGCCCGCCGCAGAGAAAGGGAAAGAAAACUCCGCAGGGGCUCCGUUGGCUUCUCGACGAGUGACAAAGAUGCUUUCCCAGAUAGAAGACCGGAGCCCUGCUCCUUUGCGAUCCGCCGAGGGCUGCAGAGAGCAUCCUCAUCCAUUUGGUCACCCCUGUCCAGGAAGAGCCUGGCCAUCCCUUUCCAGACUGGAUCCUUCAGAGGUGAAUUUUCUUCGGUGGAUUCCGAUUUGCUCCGUCUGACCAGCCUAGACAAUCCAGCAUCGGGUGGUACCAGUGCCCCUGGGCACACUUGCUUCACGCCGGCGCCGGCUCCGCCUCGCCAGCAAGCGCAUUCCCAGGUGGUCAGGCUCAGGAUGGACCAUGAGCUUUCAAAAAGGAAAAAGGUGGAAAUCCUCAACUAUGCUGCCAUCUGAAUAAGUGUUUCUUUGUAGCAUGCACAGAGUCAAGGAAAAUUACAUCCCUGCAUUAUGUAAUGUACCAACAAUGCACUUACCCACUGUUUUAAUCUAGGUUAUUCUUGAAAGCAGAGCCUGAGACAAAGGUAGACACAUUCUAUUUAUGAGUCUAGCACCCAGGAGCAGGAAUGAGAGGCAGGGGAGUGAACAUGGGAAAAGGGAAAGUAAGUCCAAGCAAAACCAGAUACUGCUGUUAUCAAGUGGUCCACCCCUAUUAAUGGCUAUGUAAUGCAGAACUUUCUUAGGAUUCUUCUUAAACUUUAUCUCAGAACUGUCUGCCUUAGGGAGAAUGGAGAAAUAUUUCUCCAUCAGCAGUCACCUCCUGUUUGUUGAGGGCUGCUCCUUUGGGGCAUUAACUCACCGCCCCCACCACCCCAUCCCUCUGGGCUGCAAAGAGCUGAGAGCCCACAUGGUACCUCAGCAUCGCACAUUGCUACAUCAGAGAGGUCUUAAGACACGAAACUAGAGUCUUGGUGCAUGCUCGAAGUGAGACAGUGUCAGCACAGAGCAGUGUAAUAUCUUCCAUAACUGUUCAACAGAGCCAUGACUGGACUCAGAGGUUGAAAAGAUAUGGGACCGUACACAAGAAGCAUCUUGUAAGCCUACAUAACAUGGUGUUAGACUCAUCGAAAUCUGUUUUGUUCCUUCUUUAUAAUCAAAACUUCAGUGUCCAGAAUAAUGUUGGCAGAAGGGUUAAAUAGGAAAGUUAAAUGCAUUAGAAGGUGUAUAUUUAUAAGUUUUAACCUUGAGUCAUGUUCAAGGAGAAAGUGACAUUGGAACUCGGAAAAUUAAAAAAUGAUUCUACUUGAAAAAUUUGACCAUUGCAUAGAGAUAUUAGCUAUUGUCUAAUCUUUUGUAAUCUCAGAAACAAUCGUGAAUUGUUUGGUGAAAAAUGAAAAAAUAAAAUGAACCAUUUCUUAUGUCUCUGUGAGCUUUAUAGACCAAUGUCACUAACUUUUCCUAAGAUAAUUGUUUCCUACUGUCAAAUAGCUCUUACAAUCAAUGAAGGGAAAACUGAUAGAAACAUAGGAAGAAAAAUACUGGGAUAAUUUUCAUCAUAUAAAGUGUUAGCAUUAACAUUGGUUAGAAUAGAGGAGAAACUGCGUGACUUGACUGGACAUUCUUGUAUGUUGUAUGAAGCCCUAUCUUAACAGAAAUAGUGAUAUCAUCAUUAUCCUCUCUUAUUUGGUCUUGAAUUGCCACCAAUAGGAUAAAACCUUUGAAUUAUUUAACUCAAUAUAUGUUAAGUUUCUACUAUGUGCUAUGUAUUGGUACUAUAAAUAUGAAUAAGACAUAAAAUAUUACAUUCAAAAACAUCAGAAUACAUGUUCUUUUAAGGUGUACCCCAAAACAUUUACCACAUGUUCUGGGGUGCAUGUUAGGCUGUAUCACAAAUCAAGUCUUAAGAAAUUUCAAAAGAUUGAAAUCAUAUAGAGUAUGAAUUAAACCAGAAAUCAAGUACAUAAAGGUAACAAAAAAUUUCCUAAAUGCAUUCAUUUAAGGAACAUACAUCUCAUGACCCAGGAGUCACAAAAUAAAUCACAGCAAAAUUGCAAAAAUAUUUUGAAAUGAAUUUUAAUGAAAAUACAGCGUAUUAAAGCUCUAAGUACUUAUGUUAGAAAUUUUACAGAAAGGUUGGCUAUCAGUGUUUCCAGAAGCCGGGGGAAAAGUUUAGACAACUUGAUCGCUGAGGAACGGAAACAAAGUGAGACCUCUGAUCACCCUGCCUUUCCGAGGCGAGCACUCUGGAUUCCGUCGUAGGAGACCAGAGUCUUGCUGAGUUGAGGAGAGGAAGAUUGGAGUUGAGACUGAGAUAGUUUGAAUUUUUUAGGACAAAGUAUCAACAAGGAAGAAGGUAGACAAAAAAAUCCAGAAAUCUACGUAGUGGCUCCAUUGUGUACCUAGCGGAACACUACGCCUAACGAGUCUCAAAAUUAGCGUGUGAUUGGGAAAUAUCUAAUUUCCAUCCAGUCACAGUGGAGAGUCCUGACUGAAAACCAGGCAUUCACUAAAGAUCCCAGAAAGGUUACGUGUUACAUGAGUAGGGCUAAAGUAUCCUGACUAAAAACUGUACUACAUUUGCUCCCCACCCACACAAAAAGCUUAAAAACAAGCCUCAAUAGUAUAAAGCUGAACUGUAAAUAACUAAACUACCUGCCAGAACGAACUCCACAUUUAUUAGUUCCAGUCCUCCAAAAUAACACAUGGAAAGACAGGAUUCAAUUUACAAGACAUUUAUUUGGGGGGGGGGGAGAAAAUGGCUAAGGGUUUAAAGAGAGAGGAAGUCAGAGAGACAGAGUCCUCAGAAUACAUAAAAUUUCUGGCCUCCAUGGAGGUGUGAUGGUUAAUUUUAUGGGUGUCAACUUCACUGGGUCACAGGAUGCCUCAUAUCUGAUCGAACAUUAUUUCUGGUUGUGUUCAUGAAGCAUUUUCUGGAAGAAAUUCACAUUUGAAUUGAUGGACUGAAUAAAGCAGAUUGCAGUCCCCAGUGUGGAUGGGCUUGAUCCAGUCUUCUAAGGACCCAAAUAAAAUAGGUGGAGGAAGGUUGAAUUUUCUGCCUGACUGUGGCACUGGGACACCCAUCUUCUCCUGCCCUUGACCUGGGACUGACACCUCAAUGCUCCUGGUUCUCAGACCUUCGGACAGCAGAUUGGGGGCCUUCUCAGCCUCCAUUAUUGUGUGAGCCAAUUCCUUAUAAUAAAUAAGGAUUUAUAUUUAAUUCCUUAUAAUUAAAUAAGGAUAAAUCCAUAUAGAUUGAUUAUAAAUCCUUAUAGAUUGACUGAUAGAUCCAUAGGACUUAUUGAUUCUGUUUCUCUGGAGAACCCUGACUAAUACAGAAGGAGAGAGGGAAGAAAGGAUGGUUGAGCAGCAAAAAGCUUAGACUGUAGCACAGUU
ensembl:lncRNA